GCGUUCUCUAUCUCUCUCUCUCUCUCUCUCUCUCUCUCUCUCUCUCUCUGUGUGUGUGUGUGUGUGUGAGAGAGAGAGAGAGAGAGAGAGGGAGGGAUCCAAAUAUGAU